rnacentral:rRNA from 1 species
UACGUAGGGUGCAAGCGUUUAAUCGGAAUUACUGGGCGUAAAGCGUGCGCAGGCGGUGAUGUAAGACAGUUGUGAAAUCCCCGGGCUCAACCUGGGAACUGCAUCUGUGACUGCAUCGCUGGAGUGCGGCAGAGGGGGAUGGAAUUCCGCGUGUAGCAGUGAAAUGCGUAGAUAUGCGGAGGAACACCGAUGGCGAAGGCAAUCCCCUGGGCCUGCACUGACGCUCAUGCACGAAAGCGUGGGGAGCAAACAGG